rnacentral:rRNA from 1 species
UACGUAGGCAGCAAGCGUUGUUCGGAAUUACUGGGCGUAAAGAGUGUGUAGGCGGUGUUCUAAGUUCGGUGUGAAAUCUCCCGGCUCAACUGGGAGGGUGCGCCGAAAACUGGGAUGCUCGAGCGUGGGAGAGGAAAGCGGAAUUCCUGGUGUAGCGGUGAAAUGCGUAGAUAUCAAGCGGAACACCAGUGGCGAAGGCGAGUCCCUGGACAACUCCUGACACUGAGGCACGAAAGCUAGGGGAGCAAACAGG